GAUGAACGCUAGCGGCAGGCUUAAUACAUGCAAGUCGAGGGGCAGCAUGAAUGUAGCAAUACAUUUGAUGGCGACCGGCAAACGGGUGCGGAACACGUACACAACCUUCCUAUAAGUGGGGAAUAGCCCAGAGAAAUUUGGAUUAAUACCCCGUAACAUAAUGAUGUGGCAUCACGUUAUUAUUAUAGCUACGGCGCUUAUUGAUGGGUGUGCGGCUGAUUAGAUAGUUGGCGGGGUAACGGCCCACCAAGUCUACGAUCAGUAGCUGAUGUGAGAGCAUGAUCAGCCACACGGGCACUGAGACACGGGCCCGACUCCUACGGGAGGCAGCAGUAAGGAAUAUUGGUCAAUGGACGCAAGUCUGAACCAGCCAUGCCGCGUGAAGGAUUAAGGUCCUCUGGAUUGUAAACUUCUUUUAUCUGGGACGAAAAAAGGCGAUUCUUCGUCACUUGACGGUACCAGAUGAAUAAGCACCGGCUAACUCCGUGCCAGCAGCCGCAGUAAAAC
rnacentral:rRNA from 1 species